UGCCAGACUCCUACGGGAGGCAGCAGUGGGGAAUAUUGCACAAUGGGGGAAACCCUGAUGCAGCAACGCCGCGUGAAGGAAGACGGUUUUCGGAUUGUAAACUUCUGUUCUUAGUGAAGAAGAAUGACGGUAGCUAAGGAGCAAGCCACGGCUAACUACGUGCCAGCAGCCGCGGUAAUACGUAGGGUGCGAGCGUUAAUCGGAAUUACUGGGCGUAAAGGGUGUGCAGGCGGCUGAGUAAGACAGAUGUGAAAUCCCCGGGCUUAACCUGGGAACCGCAUAUGUGACUGCUUGGCUAGAGUGCGUCAGAGGGAGGUGGAAUUCCACGUGUAGCAGUGAAAUGCGUAGAUAUGUGGAAGAACACCGAUGGCGAAGGCAGCCUCCUGGGACGCAACUGACGCUCAUACACGAAAGCGUGGGGAGCAAACAGGAUUAGAUACCCGAGUA
rnacentral:rRNA from 1 species